CCCACACACCAGCUCUGCCUGCCCAUGGGACCUGUCCCCAUGCCAGCGGGGGCAGCAGCAGGAGCUCUGCCUGCCCGUGGGUCUUGUCCCCACACACCAGCUCUGCCUGCCCAUGGGACCUGUCCCCAUGCCAGCGGGGGCAGCAGCAGCGGCAGCAGCAGGAGCUCUGCCUGCCCAUGGGUCCUGUCCCCAUGCUAUUCCACACUAUUCUCUAAAUAAAAGAGCACUACUGCCAGAUCUUGAGAGUCUAAGAAAUCUUUCUUUCGACUCCUCGGCUCACCGACCCCGCAUCAUUUCUGGUGGCCCGUACGGGGAAUUGCUUCAUCGGCUUGUGAGCUCGAGUUCUGGUAAGUGCCCUUUUCUUCCUUGUGCCUUGCUCUUUUUCAAGGAUGGAUCUAGAUUCACUGCUCCAUUUGGAACUUUCUCGGACAGCUGUAUGAAUCCACGUUUGCUGCCCAUGGCUACUCUAUGGGGCAAAUUGUGGCAUUCAGCUUGAAGAGAUUCAGUACCUUAAGCCUCAGGGUGAUGGAGAAUGAAUUAAUCCAUUCCUUCCUGACUCUAUCUCUAAUAGACAAAUUUUACGUGGGUGCGGGUCGGCCACUUAAGUCAUUAGGACGGCCGCCAAUCUCCAAGACUCCCGUGGAAGGUUUCUUUUCCUAAGGCUGGAUUAGGAUCCCUCCCUCUGGCACCUGACCACGCUCUGAACUGCGAGGAAAGUCCCACUCGUGACUCCAGUUCAAGGGAAGUACCAAACUCUAACCUUUGGUGGAGUAUGGGAACCCCUUCUUGGGAGAAUGGCUCCAGGAUGCAAUUGGGUAGAAUGUCCCCCAGACUGGCGGAAAAUUCCUCACUGUCUUUCUCUUUCUCACUGUCUUUGUCCUUUUAUCCUGGGGACCAUACGCCAGGCACCUAUUACUGUCAGGCAGAAUAGGGAAGAUGUUCAAGGGAUGCCCCCAUCAUCCCUUGCUACAGGAACCCCAAUGGGGGGAUUUUCAAGGUAAUGGCCCCUUUUCUUUCUCCUUUUCUCUCGGGGACCAUUCACCAGGCCUAUGCUGUCAGGCAGAAUAGGCACCAGGCACCUGUUACUGCCAGGCAUAACAGGGAAGGUAUACAAGGGAUGCAAUGCCGGGGGACGCCCCCAUCACCCCUUGCUAUAGGAACCCCACAGUAGGAACAAUGGGUAGGACGCUGCCCUAGGUUCAUGGGGGAUUUUUCACGGUAAUGGACCCGUUUCUUUUGUCUCUCUUGGAGUUACAACGGCCAUUUUCAUCUCCUUUUGAGCUUUGCGACUGGGAAACAAAGAAAUCUUUAAAGAGUAAAAGGCUCCACCCCUGGGAGCCCCAACUUUGGGUUUCUGGGCCUGAUCACCCCAGCAACCCUAAGUGGGGGUGCCCUCUCUUGACAGUUGACUCAUUGAGUAUUUUAGUCACCUACUGAGUUGGUUAUGAGGGUAGGAGACCUGUGAUUUAUUCUGUGAACUGUCGUGCUAGCGUAGUGUGCCCCAGUACGGGAACUGUUGUGUGACUCUUAUCUUGAUAACCCUCUGGAAGAGGCCAUGAGGGUGAGGUCUGAUCUCUUCUUUUCCUUUCUUUGUCUGUUUUGCUCAUCAUCUCUUCUGUUGUCACCAAGUCGAGGUUAAGUUCAGGCUAGACCUGAGCAGAACCUUGACCUUCUGUAAAAUUGGAAAAAUAAGCCUUUUGCCAGGGAUUUAACUCUCAAACCUGUCUCUGGGAGCCCCAGCCUCCAGCCAGUUCCAGGCCUUUGCCUCCUGCUUCCCUACCUCAACUUUGCUGGCUCAGAGACAAAGUGCCCAGGCUGAGUGGGACUUGAAUAAAUCUUAUAACUAUGUCAACACCCGCAAACAGCCUCUGCACACCUGCAAUCAGCCUCUGCACGCUUUCUCCAGCUGCUGUCAGUCAGACACUGGCUUUACCACCAUGGGGAAGGCUCCUAAGCAUCCCCAGAGACCCCCCCUGUGGAUGCGUUCUAACUCCAUCUGGGAGAAAAUUUGAGGGGUUUCUCUGUGCCUUUGUGAUGCAGUUGGACAGGUAGAUCAACCUGGAAUGUAAUUUGAGUUACAAUCCAGUUUCUGGGAAAUCAAGAGCAACUGUCCUUAGAAAAUCCUUGCAAGACUGGAAAUACAGCUCUAGAGGCAGUUCAGAUUCCACCUAGUUCCUUUAUCACAGAAAGGAUUAUCAUCUCCCCUCUCCAGGAACUACUAUCUAGCCCAUCACUAAUUCCUAAGACUGAAGAAAAAAAAAAGAAAGAAAGAAAGAAAGAGGAGGGGAGAGGCAAAACGGCCAUAAGCGUGCCCUUGCAAAAAAUCUAGCAUCUUGAGUAUCUUCUCCACAAAUAUUGGUAAAAAACAAUAGCUGUAACAAUAGCUGUGCAGUCUCUGUGUACGUGUGUCUAUGUGUGCGUUAUAUGUGUGAUAUUUUACCUCCGGAUGGUGUUACCAAAAUUAAGAGCUCUGUUUAAUUGGCUUCAAGUAAGCGCUUACAUAAAUUCUAAAUGUAGUAGAAAUUAAUCCAAUGUCUUUCAAGUUAACUUGAUGUGAAUUAACUUUUGGUAAAUGAAAGCUUGUUUAAGUUUGUUGGUUUGAUUGAAAAUAGUCUUCUUGUCAGAGUUGUCAGUAUUUGCCUAUGAUGCAGGCAUGCAGCCUGGGUUUACUAGUCAAAUAAGUUCACAUUGUCUGGUAAAUUCGUCAGCAAAAUAAUAGCUUUAAAUGAUGACCAGUUUUAUCUAAUGUCUCAUGAAGUUUUUGUGGGUACAAUAACUGUUUUAUGGUCUGUAUACUUGAAAAAAAAAAAAAAAACAGCUUCCAAAUUGUUUUGAUAACAAUCUUGAGUUUUGCCAAGUUAAGUUAAAUGAUAAAAAUCUGAGCAUCUGGGUCAUUUUUGGAUUGGAUAGCACACAAGCAUUACAGCUAAACUUAUCUAAGUUAUCUACUUUUGGCUUCUUAUUGCAGAGAGGCUAAAAGUCUUUGGGUCUGUUAUUGUAAAGCAGCGUGUUUCUAGAAAUUAUGAAGUGUUUAGAAUGCUGGUAUAAAAGACAAUUCAUAAUUGCUUACCUUUUUAGUGUUUACUAUGGUCUGUUAAGGGUUAAAAGUUCUUAUUAACCUAUAUAAUUAAAGCUACUGGAAAUUAAUAAGGAAAACAGCUCUGUAUUCAAGGAAAGUUAAAAUGUAUGUUUUCAGUAAAGAGGGUAUAAAGAAUGGAAGUAUUUUUGUUUGAUGGGUUAAGAAAGACAAGUUUGUCCUAAAGUACUAGAAAGGAAAAAAGACAGACUUUGGGACAAAUUCUGAAGGCAAAAAAGAAAGUUGUAGAAGGUUUGUGAAGGAGAAAUUCUGAAAGGAGUUUUAUGACUGGUGAAGCGGACUCAGAUUAAAGUAAAUUCAAUUAAGUGAAUGAGUUUUAAUGUUAAAAAUAAGCUGGUACAGAAAUUAAAGUUUGGUUUUCUCUCAAAGCAUAAUUUUCUUGAACUUUUGGCCUGCUCUAACUCUACCUAAAAGACAGAAAAUCUAUGUUUUGUUAAAAUAAUUUCCUAUAUUCAGAAAGAAAGAGGUCUCUUCUAAAAUUUUUUGACGGUGUUGUUUGCUCUUGACUGUCUCUGUUGUCACUUUGAAUGGAUGCCUGAGCAUUGUUUAACAGUGAGCGUUGUUUCCUAUUUGAACAAGUAUUUUAAAAACUUUUGAUAUUUUUGACAAGCUUCUCCCUCAAAAAAAUAUUCAAAUCCUGAAUGAAGGCUUUCUUUUGACCUGGUAGAUGGAAGAAGAAUUUCUCUGAGGAUUUUCAGAGGGCCCCUGAGACUUCUCAAAGAAAUUUGCUCUCUUCCUAUAAGGAGGAAAAUACUAAAUUAAUUAGGUUUAUUUGGUUUAUUAAAUUACAUGGGAAGCAUUGUCAAAUAAGUGAUGAUAAACUUUCUUAUGUGGUAUUACGUGGGUGAAUAUUGUUAAUAUACAUGUCUUAACAUUAUAUAGCAUUCCUAAAAUUCUAAUCUGUUCUGGUUAUCAGUCAUAAUUCCAGUUAUUAUCUUAAAGUGUUAUAUGUCACAGAAGUAGCCAAGUUUCUUUGUCAAUUGCCCUUUUGAGUCUUUUGUCCAUUUGCAGAUAGUUACUGUUUUACUCUGAUGCUUUUUGCUUUUGCAAAUAUGUUUCAUCUCCAGAGAAAUUCCUGGAAAGGAUUCUGACACAAGGGUUCUAAACUACAGGUUUCUGAUAAACUUUCAGAUUGUAAAACUGAACCGUGUAAGAAAUUACAGAAUUCUAACAGAAACUAAGCUCAUAGACCUGCUAACAGAAGAUUAAGCUCAAGAACUGAUUAUACAGGACUGUGUGAACUGAGGAGAAUGAUUAUAAUUUUUUAUGACUUCUGUUUUAAAUAUUGCUGAGUUUUGAUGUUUUGUUUUGUUUUCUCAUGUUUAAGGAAAUCUUUCUUUCUUUUCUCUUAUGCUAACUAUGACUUACAGCAAUUUAGUGAAAUACAUCUUUAUGAGCAAAACUGAAACAUUUGUCUUUUUCUCCCGACCUGAUCCCUCCAGAAUUUGGAAACUCUUUGUGAGUACGGUUAUUUCGUGGCAAUAUAGUUAUUUGCAUAAGUUCAAUAAGAAUUUGGUCCCCUUAUAACAGGACACAUUGGUUAUCUUACCAAGGCUUUGACUGGAAUGUCAUAUUUGAGAGAAAUAUACAGGCUCAGAUAUGACAACACAGCUUUUCAGGAACAAAGAUUGGACUUUCUGGAACUAAAGCCACUUGGAAAUAUGGGCCUGGUACCUUGUUUACAGAGGUUCUGGCAAUCUUACCCGGUAAGUAAGGAAGCUUGCUUGUCUGGCAGGUGCAAGGAACCUCAAAAUGUUUUGGGGGACCUCGAGAAGAGAGGAGUCCACCCAAAUCUGGAGGUA
ensembl:lncRNA